rnacentral:rRNA from 1 species
AUUGAACGCUGGCGGCAGGCCUAACACAUGCAAGUCGAGCGGAUGAAGGGAGCUUGCUCCUGGAUUCAGCGGCGGACGGGUGAGUAAUGCCUAGGAAUCUGCCUGGUAGUGGGGGAUAACGUCCGGAAACGGGCGCUAAUACCGCAUACGUCCUGAGGGAGAAAGUGGGGGAUCUUCGGACCUCACGCUAUCAGAUGAGCCUAGGUCGGAUUAGCUAGUUGGUGGGGUAAAGGCCUACCAAGGCGACGAUCCGUAACUGGUCUGAGAGGAUGAUCAGUCACCCUGGAAAUGGACAACGGUCCAACCCCCAAGGGGGGGCGGGAGGGGGAAAUUUUGGCAAAGGGGGGAAAGCCUGACCCACCCAGGCGGGGGGGGUGAAAAAGGUUUGCGGUUGGUAAAGCACUUUAAGUUGGGAGAAAGGGCAGUAAGUUAAAUCCUUGCUUUUUGGAGGUUCCCAAAAAAAAAAGCACCGGUAAACUCGGU